UCUCAUUGUGCCAAGAACUCAACUACAGAU
rnacentral:piRNA from 1 species